UACGUAGGGCGCAAGCGUUGUCCGGAAUUAUUGGGCGUAAAGAGCUCGUAGGCGGUCUGUCGCGUCGGUUGUGAAAACCCAAGGCUCAACCUUGGGCCUGCAAUCGAUACGGGCAGACUAGAGUACUGCAGGGGAGACUGGAAUUCCUGGUGUAGCGGUGGAAUGCGCAGAUAUCAGGAGGAACACCGGUGGCGAAGGCGGGUCUCUGGGCCGAUACUGACGCUGAGGAGCGAAAGCGUGGGGAGUGAACAGG
rnacentral:rRNA from 1 species